rnacentral:rRNA from 1 species
AGUGAACGCUGGCGGCAGGCCUAACACAUGCAAGUCGAACGGCAGCACAAGAGAGCUUGCUCUCUGGGUGGCGAGUGGCGGACGGGUGAGGAAUGCAUCGGAAUCUGCCCAUUUGUGGGGGAUAACCUCGGGAAACCGGGACUAAUACCGCAUACGACCUACGGGUGAAAGCAGGGGAUCUUCGGACCUUGCGCAGAUGGAUGAGCCGAUGCCGGAUUAGCUAGUUGGAGGGGUAAAGGCCCACCAAGGCGACGAUCCGUAGCUGGUCUGAGAGGAUGAUCAGCCACACUGUGACUGAGACACGGCCCAGACUCCUACGGGAGGCAGCAGUGGGGAAUAUUGGACAAUGGGCGCAAGCCUGAUCCAGCCAUGCCGCGUGUGUGAAGAAGGCCUUCGGGUUGUAAAGCACUUUUGUUGGGAAAGAAAAGCAGCCGGUUAAUACCCGGUUGUCAUGACGGUACCCAAAGAAUAAGCACCGGCUAACUUCGUG